GCAGAAUCAGUGGUGGUCCACAGCUAUUACCAUGGAAGAGAUCAGCUGGACAGAGUGUUGUUUACAAAGGAUGCACUCAUCUGUUUGAAGACCAGCUCGCCGUGGGAAAUGUCUCACUUAGACUGAGUGGUGUGCAGCCGAGUGACCAGGGCAAAAACACUUGUGAUGUGACAGAUGAACAGGCUAGCACCCUGGAAAACCUAAUACUUUUAGUGAGAUGUUAGAAAGUAUGUAUUUUUGUCCUUUCAGAUUUUUUAGGAAUCUUGCAUGUAUGGGGGAUAAAUAGACAUAAAAGUAUUAAACUAUCUGCACAAAAUCAACUUAGUUAUCUACUUGCCUAAAGCCCUUUGCAGUCAGAAUUCUCCUUUGUUAAGAGUUGAAUAUGAGUAUUGUUGUUUCUGUUUACCCCUGGCCCCCUUCAAGAAUCCACAGCUCAGCUGUCUAUACAGUCAUCCUGUGACAGCUUCAUCAUCACCCUCACCUCCUCCCAGGGUUUCCCCCAGCCUGAUGUGUGGUGGACAGACUCCAUUGGAGGAGACAUCUACAAUUAGAGCCACUGCUAAAUCGGUCUGGAAAGCAGGGGGCGCUAUGAGGUCCACAGCUCCAUGGAGGUCAGGCCAAACAGUACACUCACCAUCAUUGCUGAAAUGAGACUGGAGGAUCUCAAUCAAAGCUUCACCCGCUCGCUCACCCUCCACCCACUCCCAGAAUGCUGUGAGCUGCCUCUUGCAACCGGGGGCAGACCGGCUUUGGUAUUAUUAGGGAUAGUUCUCUUAGCAGCUUCAGACGUCUGAAACACACCAACACCAGCUGAUCCCACAUGACUAUACAACAGGACAAGAUGAGGCUCAUGAAACAGAGACUUGAUACAUCAUGAACAAAAAUUAGUUAUAAAAGUCUAAGCUUACAGGACUGUUUCAAUGUCACAAAUAUAGGUGUGUGUGUUGCUGCCUUCUGAAAUAUUUCCACUCCCUAUUGGUAAUGUAUUAUAGAGUACUGCUAGCAGUAGACUUUGCUACUCUCUGCAGCCCUAUGUAAUCCAGACUAUUUUGUUUUCUUUGGGGAUGCAGAGCUGUCAUGAAGGUGAAGAGUGGCUGCUUUGAAGAGUCUCAAAUAUACAUUUAGAUUUGUUUAACACUUUUUUUGAUUACGGCAUGAUUUCAUCAAGUGUUAUUUCAUAGUUUUGAUGUCUUCACUAUUAUGCUACAAUGUAGAAAAUAGUACAAAUAAAGAAAAACCUUUGAAUGAGUUGGUGUGUCCAAACAUUUGACUGGUACUGUACAUUUUGUCCAAUGUUACUGUCAAAUGUGGCCUGGUAACAACAACUGGGAAAAGUACUAUCCACCUUACAGUUGGGCUGGUUGUAAAAGUUGAUGCUACAUGACGUUGUGGAUGUAACUGCAACGUCUGGGGCAUAUUACAGAAAUAUUUCACGUUAUUACAUGGUGCUUGGAGUCACUCUGUGAGACAGUUCAUUACAUUAAUGAUAUACCGUUGCUGCAACA
rnacentral:lncRNA from 1 species